AUGCGCAAGUAUCCGAGAGAGAGAAAGGAGAGCGGGGGGGGCGAUGCACAGCGUUCACGCGGCCCGGCCUCCGGGGAGGGGCGCCGUGCGUGCGUCACGCUGCGACGCACCGCGGAAAACUCGCGGAGAAACCAAUGGGUGAAAAGGCGAAACGGAAAAUUAAUUGAACCGGGCCUGGCCUGCCCUAAUGAGCACACCGUGAGAUCCACCCCCGAGCAAAGAGAGCCCCCUGCUAACAAAGCCCCGCCAGCACGUGCGCGGCGGCGAAGAGCGCAGUCCCUCCGAACUGGGACACGCCGGGAAGACCCGGUGACAGCUGUGCCUGAACCUGCCCGAGGACAGCUGUGCGGGGUGUCCAGGCACGCGCUGGGAGGUGCGGGGCUGUGCGGACCCACCGCCCCGCACCGCCCCCUGCGCAGCCGUGCCGUGGGCGGGUGUCCCGGCCCCGCGGGUGGGUCCGCUCCCGCGCACCGGGCGAAGGACCCAGAGACAGCAGCAGCGGCCACCACCACCACCCCCCCCGCGAGGGACAACAGCCUCCCGCCCCCGCCGCACCCCCCUCCCCUUCCCCGGCCCGACCCCGGCUCUCCCUGCCGCGGACGGGUGCGUCCCCGAUCUGGCGUUAUCGUUAUCUAUUUAACUCUUGUUCUCUUCCUAGAAAACACGUGUACGCAUGUGUUUCAGUUUGCUCUCUCCAAGAGCCUGGUGGGACUAAUCGCAUGGUGAUCAGGAACUUGCACGCCUGGCUCCAGCAGCUGUUCUCGACGUACCAAAAGCUCAGCAGCCUUUGCAGGGUCUGGGCCUGUGCUGCACAGCAGGGCGCAGGAGCAGAUUUACCGGGGAAGAAAUCUGGUGCUCCCAUAAGUGCUGCACGUGCUCAGAGAGUGAUGCAAGAGGGAAGCUUGUGUUGCUCUGUGAUUCUGCCCCCAUCGCCACCGUAACCAAACCCAAUGAGCUUCCUGGCAUCGGUAGUAAUACUGCUGACUUUGCCAUCUCAUCUUGUAUUUUAAUGUCUUUUAAAACAGUUCUUCUCUGGCGUAUUCUCAAUAAACUAUUCCCUUUGUUCUUGUUUC
rnacentral:lncRNA from 1 species